CUAAUCAGCCAUUUUAUCAGGUUUGAUUUGAUCUUAUCUUUAGUUCCUUAUCUCCUUGUGUGCACUCUUCUUUUCCAGUUCAAAAUGUGCAAGACAAUGCCAUCUUCAGCUUUGUCUUCAGUUUGUUAAACUUUUGGACCUGUAAGGGGCUUGCUUUCUUCCUUUCCUAUACCUUCUUUUCAAGUCUACCCGUCAUCUCUUUCAAACACUUGAACUAAAAUAUUUGAUGUGGAGGCCUGCUUGGCCUAUGUACUGGAUCAACAUGGAUCAAACUGUUUUCAAAUACUUAAUUGCUGAUAUUCAGUAAUAAAUAUUGAAAAUGUGUGCAUUUACAAGCUGUGUUGAAAAAGAAUCAUGAUAAAUGCUAGAAGAACAUCAGUUUUCCAAGGAUGCAGCUGUGGUCCAUUCAUUAUGGGAUGGUUUUAUCUUUUUGGCUACUUUAAAUGAAUGCCUUAGCAGGUGAUCAUCAUUGGAAAAAGGAUAUGGUUAACGAUCUGUAUUCACCUCAUCUGCAUAUUUCUGUGCAUGUUGGCCUCGAGCAGUAGAAUGGAGCUUGAUGAUAAAAUUCCAUUUUUUUCCCCCAGGUUUUGGUUGAUGUACAUGCG
rnacentral:misc_RNA from 1 species